AUUUUGGGUCAUGCAUUCUAUCAACUUGUAGUAGUCUUUACACUCUUAUUUGCUGGUAAGAAUUCAGUGUCUAAUAAAGCUUCAGUUAAUUGUUUCUUUUCCAAGCUAAUCAUCCAAGAUGUUAUAAUGUUACAAAUUUUCAAGAGCCUAAAUUCUACUCCUGACUUCCCAUUUAUCUUUAAUUUCUUCUUAAUCAGUGAGUGCUUAGUAAAUUUGGGAGGACAAUAAGCUAGAUAGUAGAAUAAACAGGAGAAUAAACAGUCCUGAUGUCUUACCCUGGCUCUCCACUAAUUUAGAUAUGUGAUCCUGAGAUUAUCACCAUAGUUUUGGGAGCUUCUGUUUCCUUGCCUAUAAAACAAGAGAGUUGUACUAGAUAAUCCCAGGUUUCUCUAGCUCCUUCCAUGCUGCCAUUUCAGAUCAAAUAAAAGGUCUAGCUAAGUUGUAAUUUGUAUACCUCCUUGAAAUCUAAUUUGGUAUGAUAAUUACAAAAUAGUCAUUUUUCAUUCUUUCAGGAGAAAAGUUUUUUGACAUUGAUAGUGGAAGAAAUGCUCCUUUGCAUGCUCCUCCUUCAGAACAUUAUACUAUUGUUUUUAAUACCUUUGUGCUGAUGCAACUUUUCAACGAAAUAAAUGCCCGGAAAAUUCAUGGUGAAAGAAAUGUAUUCGAAGGAAUCUUUAACAAUGCCAUCUUCUGCACAAUUGUUUUAGGCACUUUUGUGGUACAGAUAAUAAUUGUGCAGUUUGGUGGAAAACCU
rnacentral:lncRNA from 1 species